UAACAGAUGAAGGCCGGUUUGGUGGUUAUCUGUUUUGUACUUUCUGUUGCAUUUUGCUAUGCUGAUGUAAACUGUGGAUCUAUAUUCACUUGCUCUGAUGGUCACACGUGCUGCCCUCACUCGGUCGAAACCUUCGUGUGUUGUCCUGCGACUAACGCUGUUUGCUGCGGCGAUUCUAAUUUUUGUUGUCCUAGUGGCACUUCAUGUGAUUACUCUAAACAGGCUUGCACUACAGGGUACGAAAGUAUUUUUGCUAAAUUGAAAACGUAUCGUCCUCAUUAAUAAACUAAAAAUUUACUUACUAGUGUUUGUAACAGAGAAAAAAGUAUUUACUGUUUUGGAUUUCCUUGAAAAUAAAAACAAAGCAAAUUAUUAAUGAA